rnacentral:snRNA from 1 species
GUGCUCACUUUGGCAACACACAUACUAAAAGUGGAAUGAUAUAGAGAUGAUUAGCAUGGCCCCUGCGCAAGGAUGACACGCAAAUUUGUGAAGCAUUCCAUAUUUUU